UGGCAUAUCUGCCCACUUAAUUCUUUUACAGAUGUCACCUGAUCAGAAAUUGGAAGCAAGAAUCAAUGAUUAACACGGAUUAUGUUGAUUCUUGAUGAUUGUUGAUGCGAUUGUUGGUGGUUAUGAAGUCUUGAAUCCUUGUGAAAUGGAGUGAACGGCCAGAAUAAUGGAGAAAAAAAUUAGUUCAUCGAUUGUAGAAUAACGCGGAUGGAGGCUAGAAGAUUAGGGCUCUGAAUGUAUGGUGUACU
rnacentral:lncRNA from 1 species